GUGCUUGCAACGGCAGCACAUAUACUAAAACUGGAACGAUACAGAGAUCAGCAUGGCCCCUGCGCAGUGAUGAAAACAGUGAUGCACAGUUCUUAAUCUAUUCUU